CAUUCACGGAGAGUUUGAUCCUGGCUCAGGACGAACGCUGGCGGCGUGCUUAACACAUGCAAGUCGAACGAUGAACCACUUCGGUGGGGAUUAGUGGCGAACGGGUGAGUAACACGUGGGCAAUCUGCCCUUCACUCUGGGACAAGCCCUGGAAACGGGGUCUAAUACCGGAUAACACCUUCCCUCUCCUGAGGGAGGGUUAAAAGCUCCGGCGGUGAAGGAUGAGCCCGCGGCCUAUCAGCUUGUUGGUGAGGUAAUGGCUCACCAAGGCGACGACGGGUAGCCGGCCUGAGAGGGCGACCGGCCACACUGGGACUGAGACACGGCCCAGACUCCUACGGGAGGCAGCAGUGGGGAAUAUUGCACAAUGGGCGAAAGCCUGAUGCAGCGACGCCGCGUGAGGGAUGACGGCCUUCGGGUUGUAAACCUCUUUCAGCAGGGAAGAAGCGAAAGUGACGGUACCUGCAGAAGAAGCGCCGGCUAACUACGUGCCAGCAGCCGCGGUAAUACGUAGGGCGCAAGCGUUGUCCGGAAUUAUUGGGCGUAAAGAGCUCGUAGGCGGCUUGUCACGUCGGUUGUGAAAGCCCGGGGCUUAACCCCGGGUCUGCAGUCGAUACGGGCAGGCUAGAGUGUGGUAGGGGAGAUCGGAAUUCCUGGUGUAGCGGUGAAAUGCGCAGAUAUCAGGAGGAACACCGGUGGCGAAGGCGGAUCUCUGGGCCAUUACUGACGCUGAGGAGCGAAAGCGUGGGGAGCGAACAGGAUUAGAU
rnacentral:rRNA from 1 species